GAUGCGGAGCUCAGGGUCCUCGCCGGCGUUCUCGUCGGCGAGGUAGGGGACGUCAACCGUGCCGGAAACCUUGAGAUCGGGAGUCUGACCCUCCCAGGAGAGGGAGAGCGAUAGCUCGUAGCCGGGGAUGACCUUACCCUUGCGGACGUUGACAUAAGCCUCGCCGUCGAGUUUGUCAAGGGUGAUGGUGCGGAGGUGGAGGCCGCCCUCGCCGUCGAGGAUGGUGAGGUUGUUGAGGAGGGAGGAGAGGAGGGAGCGGGACCACUCGAUGCAGUCGCGCUCGGCCCAGUGCCAGUUGUGGACGUUGGCGCCGUCGGGGCGUUCUUCAACAAUCCAGCGCUUGUCGCCCUUGCCAUACUCCGCCAUUUCUGGGCUGUGGGGGAGGGGCUAGGGUUUCGGCGAGAAGGAAAAUCG
rnacentral:misc_RNA from 1 species